rnacentral:rRNA from 1 species
CAGCCGCCGCGGUAAUACAGAGGGUGCGAGCGUUAAUCGGAUUUACUGGGCGUAAAGCGUGCGUAGGUGGCCAAUUAAGUCAAAUGUGAAAUCCCCGAGCUUAACUUGGGAAUUGCAUUCGAUACUGGUUGGCUAGAGUAUGGGAGAGGAUGGUAGAAUUCCAGGUGUAGCGGUGAAAUGCGUAGAGAUCUGGAGGAAUACCGAUGGCGAAGGCAGCCAUCUGGCCUAAUACUGACACUGAGGUACGAAAGCAUGGGGAGCAAACAGG